GCCAGCGCACACGCCCUCCUUGCAGCCCCCCGCAGCCCCGGCCGGCCGCGCUUCUCCGCCUCGCCGCCGACAGCCCCUCCCAGCCCGCCUGCCCGCCCUCCUUCCGGCUGUUUUUGUUUGUCUGUCUUUCCCGAGAAGCACGAACAGGGAAAGGCUCAUGAGACUGUACUCUGUGAGGGUGGAAACCGGUCUGAACCAUCCCUGUAACUGCUGAGCCCCGGGACCUGCCGCACACUAGCUGAGGGUGAUGGACCCUGCCGCUGUGCACAAAGUCCACACAGAGGACUUCCCGAGGUCAGCCUCCGGAAAGCAAUAGCGACUGGGCCCAGAAACAUCCUGUUAGCACGAAUGCCUUGCUAUGAAGUCACACAAAGAGCCAAGGGGUGUGGCUGGGGAGGUUUUGAAAACUCAGCGAAUAGCAAAACGGGGGCAGGAACAUAGGUCUUUUUAUCCAUCAGGCAAAGUCCCACCUUUAUGACAUAUCUGUCCUGGGUCUGGAGCACCAUGCUUUGUGAGAUUAUAAUAGAGAGGCAUGUCGAUGAAUAAUAGGCGUGUGACAGGUUGGUGUGGGCUGGCAGGGAGCUGCCUCCCGACUGCCCUGCUCGCGCUGCUGUGGGGCUCCCCCGAUACAGGUCAUGGGUCUGACUGGAGUGCCAUUUCCUAACCACUCUUCUGUUCAUCUAGACAUGAUGCUACGUCCAUCCUAAGAGUCAUAUGUGUUCUUUGGUUAUCCUAGAAGCCACUGUGGUAUCCCAGGGCCUUGAC
rnacentral:lncRNA from 10 species